GUGCCAGCCGCCGCGGUAAUACGGGGGGGGCAAGCGUUGUUCGGAAUUACUGGGCGUAAAGGGUUCGUAGGUGGCCGGCUAAGUCAGACGUGAAAUCCCUCAGCUUAACUGGGGAACUGCGUCUGGGACUGGUCGGCUCGAGGGCAGGAGAGGAACGUGGAAUUCCAGGUGUAGCGGUGAAAUGCGUAGAUAUCUGGAGGAACACCGGUGGCGAAGGCGGCGUUCUGGACUGCAUCUGACACUGAGGAACGAAAGCCAGGGGAGCAAACGGGAUUAGAUACCCUCGUAGUCC
rnacentral:rRNA from 1 species